AGGGCUCACGAAUGGGUACCGAUCCGCAGCCUGUCGGAAACAGGGUCCGCGAACCGGUACCGAUCCGUGGCCGGUCGGAAACGGGGUCCGCAAGUGGGUACCGGUCUGCGGCCCGAAUUUACAUUUUCAGUACGUAUUUUUUGAAGAUUACAGCCAAGUCAUGUUCCUGCGGGAGACUGUAAUGCACCCCGACGCCCAUAGGUGGCAGCAGAACACCCAGGUCACGCAGCAGCCUGGAAAAACACCAGGACCCUGACGACACUGUCAGCCUCCAUCUUCUGGAACUCUCGAAUAAGCUGUGCGGGGAGGCCCUAUCCACGCACCUCGCGGCCACCACUACAUCCCCAUGCGGACGGCCCUGCAGCGCAGAAAGUCCAAGCGUGAGGGCAAGUCCUGCUGCCUACCAUCCUCCCUCCCAGGGCCCCCGAGCCCGCGAGCGUGCAGAAGGCGGGAGCCUCGGAAUAGGCCAAAAACCAGAUCGUACGCAACCUGCUCAUUUUACCUCGAGAAUAUUUUCUCCAUUCCCACCGACUCCACCCUCCGAGCCACCGUCCCCUCUGGCCUGGAGGCCUGCGUCAGCCUCCUACCCCGCCCCCACAACCCCAGCCCGCUGCGCCCCUGCACGCCCUCCUCUCCUGCAGCCCGCCUGACCUCGCGGCGCUCAUCACGCCAUCCCCCUCUCGGCUUCAAAACUUCUUCCCCUAAAGGCUGGCAGCUUUCAGGUAGCCUACAGGACCCUCCUCUUCUGUACUCGGGCCACCUGGCGCACCACUAAUCCCCCCCGCAGGCCGUCGCACUGCGGCCCCGCUGUCUAGAAGGGCUUUUGUUCAUUUCUGACCGGACCAUAAACAGAAACCCAAUAUGUUGAGCGUUUAUUAAACUAUAGUUUAUAUUUAUCGCAAUAUGUAUACUAUAUCUGACCGUCAUUACCAAUUGAAGAAAUGUAUAGUAAUACUAACAUUCUCACACUGAUUAGCAUAAGACCACAUUCUGCUUCUAAAGCAGAGUGGGCAGACUACCUUGCAUGGUGUGUGUGCCACUGUACCCCGGGACCUGCGGGGCAGUGACACCCCUGAACAUGGGGCAACUCCCAAGAUUGUGGGACUUUGUGGUGAGAGGGCUGAGCAAAGGGUCAGCGAGCUGUAUAGCCCCGAUGCUCCAAUUCACUCUGCUGCAUGGGAAAGCGUUCUCUUGAGCCCCAGCACCCAUUUCCUCAUCAACAAUAAGAUAGAUACAUUUUGCCCUAAAAUGUUAGUAGAGAACUUAUCACUCCUUCCUCAAGCUUCCAUGUGGAUUUGCUACAUUAAUCUCUCCCUAUCCCUAACUUUUCGCCGGCGGUUAGAUGGCGGGGGAGGGGCACUAAUCAGAGGUGGCGUAGCCUCCUCUUCUCACUUUGGGAUGCCAACUUAAACCCCGACCUAACACCAGAUUCCCUCUUCCUCCAAGCCGCGAAGUUCACAAGGGUCCCUGACGCCGGGUUCUGUGUGCGGCCACGGGUGAGUGAGUCCUCCGGCUAUCAGAUUGCAGGCCCGGUUCUCCAGCAACUGUUUCAGUCGUGGGGUGAGGCCGGAUGGCCACGGCCCAUCUUCAGCUCCUGUCUCCUGACUGACUCUGGACUUGGGAAGGGAAAGAAAUGCUACUGCCUCUCUCAAACCACAAUACAUAACUCUGCAAGCCAUUAAAGGCUCAUCACUUUCCCCCGCUAAGUGAUCCCUUUCAGGGCCUGUCCAGACCAACAAAGAAAUAACGGUACUACUCCCCAAGGUUCCAGCUCUUACAACACAACAGAAACAGGAGUCACAUGUAAUAAUGGUCAGUCGCUGCCCAAUGUGCAGUGACCGAUACCAUUGCCUAAGUAAAUAAUUUUUAAAUCAAAAGUGAGUUUCUGGAAUUAGAAUUAUAAAUGUUCUUUCAUCCAAGUAGAAGAAAUUUAUCAGGAAUUAUCCUACAAGUAUACUUGCACCUGAGUACAGGACAUAAAGGGGUAAUCAUUAGAGUGAUGUAUUUUUAAACUGGAAAAAUACAUAAUCCACCCAAUAAAGGAUUGUGCAGCCACGAGGAAGAACAAGGGCCGAUCUCUAUAUGCACUAAUAUGGAACGAGCUCCAAGAUUCAAAUAUAAAGCAAGAUGUACCCAGUGUGCACAGUGUGCUCCUGCCCAUGUU